rnacentral:rRNA from 1 species
AUGUAUCGCAGUAACUCAGCUAUAACAGAAGAGAUAGAUGACCUUUUCGGAUUAUCAACAGCAGAAGCAUCACUCAGACGUCUAACCAGAAUUUCCACAAACAUGCGCACAUAUGUUUGUGAGAGAGUGAUGGUCUCAACCAAGCCAAGUACAAUAGGCAAAAGAAGCUCCAAGGCCUCAACUGAAUCUCUCUCCUGGUGUUGGUAACAUAACCAUUCAAUAAGUACCGAGGGAACUAGCAAUUCUUCUGUGAGAUGCCAUUGGACAAGACGAACCAUAUACCACCAUUUGAAGUGCACCAAGGGCUCUUCAGUAUCUCCACCAGCUGAGGGUGCUUCAUGUUUCAAUUUUACUUGA